rnacentral:rRNA from 1 species
AAAGGAAUUGACGGACCCGCACAAGCGGUGGAUCACGUUGUUUAAUUCGAUGAUACGCGAAGAACCUUACCAGGUCUUGACAUCCCCCGCGAUGCUUUAGAGAUAAAGCGGAGGUAUUCGGGGAGACAGGUGGUGCAUGGUUGUCGUCAGCUCGUGUCGUGAGAUGUUGGGUUAAGUCCCGCAACGAGCGCAACCCUUGUGUUUUAGUUGCAAACAGGUCAAGCUGUGCACUCUAGACAGACUGCCGUGGACAACACGGAGGAAGGUGGGGAUGACGUCAAAUCAUCAUGCCCCUUAUGACCUGGGCUACAAACGUGAUACAAUGGCUGGAACAAAGGGAUGCGAAGCAGUGAUGUGGAGCGAAACCCAUAAAAACAGUCUCAGUUCGGAUUGAAGUCUGCAACUCGACUUCAUGAAGUCGGAAUCGCUAGUAAUCGCGGAUCAGAACGCCGCGGUGAAUACGUUCUCGGGGUUU